rnacentral:misc_RNA from 1 species
UCCGGCUUAACGCCGGCAGUCCCGCCAGAGUCCCCAGCAUUACCUGAUGGUAACUGACGGCAAGGGUUUCGCUCGUUGCAGGACUUAACCUAACAUCUCACGGCACGAGCUGACGACAGCCAUGCAGCAUCUGCGCACGCUCCCUUGCGGGUCCUUCCCCUUUCGGGGUCGUACCACGUGCAUGUCAAGCCCAGGUAAGGUUCUUCGCGUUGCGUCGAAUUAAACCACACGCUCCGCUGCUUGUGCGGGCCCCCGUCAAUUCCUUUGAGUUUUAGCCUUGCGGCCGUAGUCCCCAGGCGGAGAACUUAUCGCGUUAGCUUCGGCACGGACGGAGUCGACACCGCCCACACCUAGUUCCCAUCGUUUACGGCGUGGACUAC